AGCCACUCCCCAUCGGUCGCAUUACCACCUGAACUCCGCCUCCUGUCAGCAUUAUGCCUCUACACAAGCCAACUCAAAGCAUGAACUUCUCUAGGGACCCUUUGGACAGACUGACUCCCAUUACUGAAAUCCCUGUCAUGCCAACAUUUCAGUUUUGGAGUUACAGCUUAGAAGCUUAACAACUUUUCUAUUUAAACGACAUG